rnacentral:misc_RNA from 1 species
CGGUACAGCGGGAUGCGACAUGGCGACAUGGAGCGGAUCCCUGAAAACCGGUCUCAGUUCGGAUCGGAGCCUGCAACCCGGCUCCGUGAAGGCGGAGUCGCUAGUAAUCGCGGAUCAGCAACGCCGCGGUGAAUGCGUUCCCGGGCCUUGUACACACCGCCCGUCAAGUCAUGAAAGUGGGCAGCACCCGAAGCCGGUGGCCUAACCCCUUGUGGGAUGGAGCCGUCUAAGGUGAGGCUCGUGAUUGGGACUAAGUCGUAACAAGGUAGCCGUACCGGAAGGUGCGGCUGGAUCACCUCCUUUCUACGGAGAUUUCAGGCCACUGUCUGGUGGCCGGUGUGUGCCCCCUUGCCCCGGAUGUGCCGGGUGUGUGGGGGUUGCUGGUGUGGAAGAGUGGAGUCGGCCUUCGGGCGUGCCGGUCGUGCGGUGCGUCCAGGAGUGGUGCGGGCAUGCUUUUGGGUUCCCGGACCGCCACCCCGCGCCGUUUGGCGUGGCUGGUGUUCCGUGCCCCGUGCCGGUCGCCCGUCCCCUGGUGGGGUGGGUGGGCUCGCGUGCGGGUGCGUGGUGGUUUGAGAACUGGAUAGUGGACGCGAGCAGGGGACGCCCUUUCGGGGGUGUCUUCUGCUGUUGAUUUCGCCGGACUCUUCGGAGUCUGGUGUUUGAUCGUUUUGUGUGUGAUCAUUUGUGUGAUGAUUUGUGUUGCCAGCGGAGUUUUUGCCGUGGGCUUGCGGUUUC